rnacentral:rRNA from 1 species
CCUACGGGUGGCUGCAGUAGGGAAUAUUGCUCAAUGGGGGAAACCCUGAAGCAGCAACGCCGCGUGGAGGAAGAAGGUUUUAGGAUUGUAAACUCCCUUUGUUAGAGGAGAUUAUGACGGUAUCCAACGAAUAAGCACCGGCUAACUCAGUGCCAGCAGCCGCGGUAAUACGGAGGGUGCAAGCGUUACUCGGAAGCACUGGGCGUAAAGAGUGCGUAGGCCGGGUAUUAAGUCAGAGUGGAAAUCCUGUAGCUUAACUACAGAACUGCAUUUGAAACUGUUGCUCUGGAGUGUGGGAGAGGUAGGUGGAAUUCUUGGUGUAGGGGUAAAAUCCGUAGAGAUCAAGAGGAAUACUCAUUGCGAAGGCGACCUGCUGGAACAUUACUGACGCUGAUGCACGAAAGCGUGGGGAGCAAACAGGAUUAGAUACCCUAGUAGUC